AUAAAACCAUCAUAGCUAUAAGUCUUUAAUAACAUCAUCACAAGUAUUUGACAUUAAGCAUAAGAAAAAAAAUCUCAGAUAAAUCUGCUACUGAUUAAUAUUUUUAUAAUCGAGUGCUAAUUAUGUUAAGUUUAGUACCGUUAAAUCCAUUUAUAGCGUUACAAUAUAUACCGCAGGAGUAGAGACUUCAACCUGGUUGAUUCAAUUUGAUGUUAGCUAAUCCUUUUUGCGUAAAAAAUUUUGUUUAUUGUAAUUUGUCAUGUUGCAUUUUUUAAAGCUUUUUGUAGUUGUUGGAAGUCAGGGAGAUGUUGUUUGAAGGAUGGAGAACUCUGGUAGAUGAUUGAGGCUGCUUGAAUAAGAAUGCUUGCUGUCAAACCCCAUAUCUGGAAAACCCCUUGCUCUGAUGUAAAAUCAAACAGAUGGAGAAUAUAUUUCCACUCCAUCCAUUCCUUCUCUUCACAUCGAUGAUUUUCUUCCUUAAGGAACAUCUCCAAUGGGACAUCAAAAAUAGCAUCAACUUCAUCAAUAUUUAGUCUAGGCUUGAAAUCUUGUAUCCUGGCAAGUAGACCUACCACAGGGACAACUCUCAGUUGGUGCUGGGAAGUAAAAGGCUCUAAUUUUGCAACAAUUUGAACGAGAUGAGGAUUCAAGCCAAUCUCUUCCAUGGCUUCUCUUAAUGCUGUUGCAGAUUCAUCUGCAUCUUCCUCUUCCAUCUUUCCACCUGGUAAAGCUACAUCUCCAGGAUGAGAGGAGAGCUUCAUAGAUCUCUUAGUAAGAAUAACACGCAGCUCGCCUUCAUAUCCCUCAAAAAGACAAAUCAAGACAGCUGCUUUCUUCCUCCACUUCACGCAGGACAAUUUAUUAUCUUCUUCUGCUGAUAAAGAGUCGGCGACCUCAAGCUUUGAGCCUGCAGCAUCGUCGAAUUGUUUUCCUACUUUUAUCACACCUAUCGGAUUAAAACACUGGAGCUGAUUCGCCAGCUUCUGGAGAGUUGGACUGCCAUGAGCUCCUUCUGUGAAGCAACCCAUGUCUGUUUCCAUGCACGUAGAGGGCAUGGUAGGAGCCAGAGCCACAUCAUAGUUGGAUCUUGGCAAGUUACUGAUCAAAUUCAUU
rnacentral:misc_RNA from 1 species